rnacentral:rRNA from 1 species
AUUGAACGCUGGCGGCAUGCUUUACACAUGCAAGUCGAACGGUAACAGCACUUCGGUGGCUGACGAGUGGCGAACGGGUGAGUAAUACAUCGGAACGUGCCUAGUAGUGGGGGAUAACUACUCGAAAGAGUAGCUAAUACCGCAUGAGAUCUAAGGAUGAAAGCAGGGGACCUUCGGGCCUUGCGCUACUAGAGCGGCUGAUGGCAGAUUAGGUAGUUGGUGGGAUAAAAGCUUACCAAGCCGACGAUCUGUAGCUGGUCUGAGAGGACGACCAGCCACACUGGGACUGAGACACGGCCCAGACUCCUACGGGAGGCAGCAGUGGGGAAUUUUGGACAAUGGGCGCAAGCCUGAUCCAGCAAUGCCGCGUGCAGGAUGAAGGCCUUCGGGUUGUAAACUGCUUUUGUACGGAACGAAAAGCCCUCUUCUAAUACAGGAGGGUCAUGAUGGUACCGUAAGAAUAAGCACCGGCGAACUACGU